AUUGAACGCUGGCGGCAGGCCUAACACAUGCAAGUCGGACGAGUGGCGGACGGGUGAGUAAUGUAUUGGAAAGUGCCUGGUGAUGGGGGAUAACAAAUGGAAAGGGUAGCUAAUACCGCAUACUAUCGGAUGUGCCCAGAUAGGAGUAGCUAGUAGGUGGGGUAAAGGCUUACCAAGGCGACGAUCAGUAGCUGGUCUGAGAGGAGGAGCCGCCACACUGGCACUGAGACACGGUCCAGACUCCUACGGGAGGCAGCAGUGGGGAAUUUGGGACAAUGGGCGCAAGCCUGAUGCAGCCAUGCCGCGUGUAUGAAGAAGGCCUUCGGGUUGUAAAGGACUUUUAGUGGGGAGGCGUUACCUUCAGAAUAAGCACCGGCUAACUCCGUGCCAGCAGCCGCGGUAAUAC
rnacentral:rRNA from 1 species